GAUGAAGACGCAGCGAAAUGCGAUAAGUAAUGUGAAUUGCAGAAUUCAGUGAAUCAUCGAAUCUUUGAACGCACAUUGCGCCCGCUAGUAUUCUGGCGGGCAUGCCUGUUCGAGCGUCAUUUCAACCAUCAAGCCCUUUAGCUUGUGUUGGGGACCUGCGGCUGCCGCAGCCCCCGAAAUGCAGUGGCGGGCUCGUUGUCACACCGAGUGCAGUAAUCAUUCUUCUCUCCGGGCGUGGCGGCGGGUUCCGGCCGUAAAAUCACCAAUUUAUCAAGGUUGACCUCGGAUCAGGUAGGAAUACCCGCUGAACUUAAGCAUACAAUAAGCGGAGGA
rnacentral:misc_RNA from 1 species